CGCCGCCAGGAUGUGGCUGGGGGCUGACGUCGGGUCCAGAUGUGGCCCCGGCCCCGCCCACCCCCGGGGCCGGUCCGCCCACACCGAGCCGCGGCGCGCACGGAGGCUGUCCCGCCUGCCACAAUGCACGGUGGAACUGCGACCGCAACUUGCAGGGGUCGUGCCUAACGUCGCCGCCGCUCGACGUCCCUAGGACAGGCCGGUUCUGACGCCGCACGCGGACCCACCUCACUGGAGCCCCCCAUGCGCUCACCCUCCAGUGCCCGGCCAGGAGGACGCGGAGCCGCGCGGGUGACGGCAGAAGCGGCUACGCGCCCAGCCUAGCCCAGCCCAGCCGGAGAAGAGGGCGCGCCGCGCCCCCGCCCCCCGCCGCUCUCCGGAGGCCGUGGGUGCGGAUGCGCCGCUGACGACUCCUGCGAGAGCACCGCGCGCCCGAGCCCGCAGCAUGGCAGCCGCCGCCUAUGUGGACCACUUUGCCGCCGAGUGCCUCGUGUCCAUGUCCAGCCGCGCAGUCGUGCACGAGCCGCGGGAAGGACCUGAACCCCGGCCCGAGGGCGCGGCCGCCGCCGCCCCCACACUGCCCCGCGUUGACGAGCGCCGCGACGGCAAGGACAGCGCCUCUCUUUUCGUGGUAGCUCGGAUCCUAGCGGACCUCAACCAGCAGGCGCCGGCCCCCGCCCCCGCGGAACGCAGAGAAGGGGCUGCUGCCGCAAGGCGAGGACCCCCUGCCGCCUGCCGCCCGCGCCCCCUGCGCCGCCGCCCGGCCCAGAGCCCGCUUCCCCUGGACAAGCAGGCGCGCCGGCCGCGCCCCCCAGCCCCGCGUGGAGCGAGCCCGAGGCGGCAUUGGAGCCAGAGCCGGG
rnacentral:lncRNA from 1 species